UCUUUCUGCUCCCAGGAGAAGGUCAAGCUCUGUAAGUUUCCAUCUAAUGGCUUCUUUUGUCUUCAUUCCAGCAAAGGAGAGGACUGAGUGGCCCAGAUGGAAAGCAGAAAUGCAGACAGAGGCCUGUGGAAGAAGAAUCUUAAAAUAACUAAGCAACUCCAAGAAAACAAGUGAGGAUUUAUUGGAAACAACUGCCUUGAAAGAAGAAAAAAACACUCCAACUUGUUCAAAGUACUUUAUUUUGAUUUCACCUUUGACCCAGAACUUAUCUAGAGAAAAUUUGAGAAGAUAAUACAGAAAGCUCAUAUACUUCAAGCUAUGGGAUGAAUUGUGUUCAACAAAGAAGGAAAGAACCUUUCCUGGCUGAAGUCAGAGGCUGAGGUCAGAGGAAGACGUGACUAUAGAAGAAUGAUCAUAGGAUUGCAAUAUUGCUGGUCUUGAAGACAGAGGAAGGAUGUGGGUUACAUCUAGAAACUGGAAAAGGUGAGGACCACACGUGGAAAAGGGAGGCUGAGAAUGUAAGACAUCAGCAGAGUGUGGAUCUGAUAGCUGUGUUGGGACUAAUGGAAGAUAGAUGGUUUGAGAGGCACCCACACCCUUGGAGCCCAAAACCAUGCCAUGCACAUGUAACCAACCAGCUACAUGUGAAGAUCACAUAAAGGUGUUCUUGUCCUGGCUCUAGCUAAGGUUCCAGCUCUCAGUCAGCAUCAAUUGUGGAAGAUGGGAGUGCAUGAGCUUUUAGAUGAUUUCAGUCCCCUGCCUUUGACACCAAGUGGAACUGAGAUGAUCUUUCCACCGAGCCCUAGUCAAACUGCAGAUUCAUGAGCAAAAUAAACACCAUCAUUACUGAAGCAACAUGGCAUGUGGGGUGAUAUGUUGGGGAAGCCAUAGAUAAUCAGAGAAAGCUCCUUUUCUUUGUGAGCAAUAUUAUUUGCAUAGGAGAGAGACAAAGCUGCAUGGACUGGAAACUUCCAUGACCAAAAAAGAUGUCAUUUUCUAAGGGCUUGAGUGGGAGGUGGCCCUGACAGCAUCUGCAUGAGCCAGAGAUGCACUCACACUUUCAUUAUUGCUUGAGGGUGCCAAGAACUGUAGCAGUAAGAGCAGAAGCAGAAAUGAAGAACACGAAGGAUGCUAUGGAGUGAGAGAAAAGUCCAUGCUUGCAAGAAUCCAAAGACACCCUGUGAGGACGCCCCAAAAUACUCGAGGAAGUGUGUAAGUAGAGCUGGACCUUUCAUUCUCCCAGCUGGGGUAGAACUGGAGCCAUGUGUGCAGGGCCUGCUUCUUCUUCAGGGCUGCCGUGUCCUGGAAAGCCAAGCUUGCACAUGGGUUAUAGCACUCCACUUUCCCAAAGCCCUCAUAUACAUCAUCUGUUUCAGUGCUCGCAUUAACACCUGUGAAGUAGAUAUUAUUCCCAGGUCUCACAGCCCAUAAAUGGAAACUCUGCCGGGAAAUAAGUCCUGCUUUUCUCUCUGUACCAGAGCUGCCCCAGCAAAUUAAAGCUUAUUCUAAAUGUAGGUACCUAGAGCAUUUCUUAAAUUAAACCCAGAGUGAAUUCUGAACCUCAGUCUAAGCCUCUACUGAUUUGUCUAUUCUGUGAGUUCAGAGUUCUGCAUAGUAAAAUCUCAUUAAUUCAAUCUCCAUGAAUGUAGAAUUUGGGGUAGGCAUCAGAAAGCAGUCUCUCCUUAGUCACUUAGCCACACUUACUUUGGCCCAAUGACCCAAAAAUUUCUUGUUAAGGCCUUUCUUUAAAAUGAUCUCUAAGGCAGGCACUUUAUAAAUGAAAAUCACGCCCACCUAAGCCUAGGCUUGCAGGUUUGUCUGCCUCGGGCUUUCAGGUAUGUCUGGUUCUCUUACCCCAUCAAAGGGACAGACUGCUCACAGGUGCUUAAGAUCAUCCUGGCAUGGACCCUUGUUUUAUGCAAAG
rnacentral:lncRNA from 1 species